AUUGAACGCUGGCGGCAGGCCUAACACAUGCAAGUCGAGCGAGCGGCGGACGGGUGAGUAAUGUAUGGGGAUCUGCCUGAUGGAGGGGGAUAACGACGGGAAACGGUGGCUAAUACCGCAUACUAUCGGAUGAACCCAUAUGGGAUUAGCUAGUUGGUGGGGUAAAGGCCUACCAAGGCGACGAUCUCUAGCUGGUCUGAGAGGAUGAUCAGCCACACUGGGACUGAGACACGGCCCAGACUCCUACGGGAGGCAGCAGUGGGGAAUAUUGCGCAAUGGGGGCAAGCCUGAUGCAGCCAUGCCGCGUGAAUGAAGAAGGCCUUCGGGUUGUAAAGUUCUUUCGGCGGGGAGGCGUUACCCGCAGAAGAAGCACCGGCUAACUCCGUGCCAGCCGCCGCGGUAAUUC
rnacentral:rRNA from 1 species